GAUGAACGCUGGCGGCGUGCCUAAUACAUGCAAGUCGAGCGAACAGAUAAGGAGCUUGCUCCUUUGACGUUAGCGGCGGACGGGUGAGUAACACGUGGGUAACCUACCUAUAAGACUGGAAUAACUCCGGGAAACCGGGGCUAAUGCCGGAUAACAUUUAGAACCGCAUGGUUCUAAAGUGAAAGAUGGUUUUGCUAUCACUUAUAGAUGGACCCGCGCCGUAUUAGCUAGUUGGUAAGGUAACGGCUUACCAAGGCAACGAUACGUAGCCGACCUGAGAGGGUGAUCCGCCACACUGGAACUGAGACACGGUCCAGACUCCUACGGGAGGCAGCAGUAGGGAAUCUUCCGCAAUGGGCGAAAGCCUGACGGAGCAACGCCGCGUGAGUGAUGAAGGUCUUCGGAUCGUAAAACUCUGUUAUUAGGGAAGAACAAAUGUGUAAGUAACUGUGCACGUCUUGACGGUACCUAAUCAGAAAGCAACGGCUAACUACGUG
rnacentral:rRNA from 1 species